rnacentral:tRNA from 1 species
CCCUUGGUGGCUCAGACGGUAAAGCGUCUGUCUACAAUGCAGGAGACCCGGGUUCAAUCCCUGGGUCAGGAA